CAGCAGCCACGGUAAUGCGUAGGCGGCAAGCGUUGUCCGGAAUUAUUGGGCGUAAAGGGCUCGCAGGCGGUUUCUUAAGUCUGAUGUGAAAGCCCCCGGCUCAACCGGGGAGGGUCAUUGGAAACUGGGAAACUUGAGUGCAGAAGAGGAGAGUGGAAUUCCACGUGUAGCGGUGAAAUGCGUAGAGAUGUGGAGGAACACCAGUGGCGAAGGCGACUCUCUGGUCUGUAACUGACGCUGAGGAGCGAAAGCGUGGGGAGCGAACAGGAUUAGAUACCCCGGUAGUCCCUGUCUCUUAUAC
rnacentral:rRNA from 1 species